GACGAACGCUGGCGGCGUGCUUAACACAUGCAAGUCGAACGGAAAGGCCCUGCUCUUGUGGGGUGCUCGAGUGGCGAACGGGUGAGUAACACGUGAGUAACCUGCCCUUGACUUUGGGAUAACUUCAGGAAACUGGGGCGAAUAUCGGAUAGGAUCUCCUGCUGCAUGUGGGGGGAUGGAGAGUUUCGGCUGUUGGGGAUGGAUUCGCUGCUUAUCGGCUGCUUUGUGUGGUAGUGGCGGUCCAAGGCUUUGACGGGUAGCCGGCCUGAGAGGGUAACCGGCCACAUUGGGACUGAGGUACGGCCCAGACUGCUACGGGAGGCAGCAGUGGGGAAUCUUACACAAUGGGCGGAAGCCUGAGGCAGAAACGCCGGGUGCGGGAUGCCGGCCUUCGGGGUAUAAACCGCUUUCGCCUGUGACGAAGCGGGAGUGACGGUAAUGGGUAAAGAAGCACCGGCUAACUACGUG
rnacentral:rRNA from 1 species